rnacentral:rRNA from 1 species
CCUACGGGAGGCAGCAGUGAGGAAUAUUGGUCAAUGGACGAGAGUCUGAACCAGCCAAGUAGCGUGAAGGAUGACUGUCCUAUGGGUUGUAAACUUCUUUUAUAUGGGAAUAAAAUGUUCCACGUGUGGGAUUUUGUAUGUACCAUAUGAAUAAGGAUCGGCUAACUCCGUGCCAGCAGCCGCGGUAAUACGGAGGAUCCGAGCGUUAUCCGGAUUUAUUGGGUUUAAAGGGGGCGUAGGUGGAUUGUUAAGUCAGUUGUGAAAGUUUGCGGCUCAACCGUAAAAUUGCCGUUGAAACUGGCAGUCUUGAGUACAGGAGAGGUGGGCGGAAUCCGUGGUGUAGCGGUGAAAUGCUUAGAUAUCACGAAGAACUCCGAUUGCGAAGGCAGUUCACUGGACUGCAACUGACACUGAGGCUCGAAAGUGUGGGUAUCAAACAGGAUUAGAUACCCUGGUAGUC